ACGCUUCCCUCAGCAGCACAUAUACUAAAACUGGACUGAUACAGAGAAGAUUAGCAUGGUCCCUGCACAAGGAUAACACGCAAAUUCAUGAAGCAUUCCAUGUUUAA
ensembl:snRNA RNU6-580P RNA, U6 small nuclear 580, pseudogene